rnacentral:rRNA from 1 species
UACGUAGGGUGCAAGCGUUGUCCGGAAUUAUUGGGCGUAAAGAGCUCGUAGGCGGUCUGUCGCGUCUGCUGUGAAGACUCGGGGCUUAACCCCGGGCCUGCAGUGGGUACGGGCAGACUAGAGUGCGGUAGGGGAGACUGGAAUUCCUGGUGUAGCGGUGAAAUGCGCAGAUAUCAGGAGGAACACCGGUGGCGAAGGCGGAUCUCUGGGCCUUACCUGACGCUCAGGCACGAAAGCUAGGGGAGCGAACAGG